AGGCCCACGUACCAGAAAAAAAAAAAAAAAAAAUAUCCUGAAGCCAAGGAUCCAAGUUUCCCCAAAGAUCAUGAACUUGUCUUCCGAGCACUGCAGCACAUCAGAUUGGCUGAGGCUGGAAGCAACAGUGAAGGCUUCUGUAUAUGUGGUGGCUUUCUCCUUUGCUACAUGUCAUCAUUAUCACAAUCGUGUCACAGAAUUCAAAACUGAGGAAAGAGGUCCGAUACAUCCUCCUUUGCCACCAUCUGCUGUGCAUGUCAUCCUGUGGUCUGGGGGUGGUUUUCCAAGGGAUGUGGGCCCUCUUGGCCAACAGCCCCGUGCUGGGUGGUGUUUGGGGCACAGCGAAGUGUUGGAGAAGGGAUUCUCUUCGCUCUGGGCUUGAUGGCUGUCAACACCUACCUAGCAAUUUGCUGGCCCUUGAUAUCUCUGUCUUUUGUAGAUUCAGUUAAGUAUAGGAUUCCGGCUGGGACUUGGAUAAUUAUUAUAGUGAAGAAUGCUUGCUUAUUGCUCAUAGAGGGCACUAGCUCUACUCAGGGGGCUGUUUUAAAAUCCGAACCCCUUCGCCCAGUGGUCUUGAAUGGCAUUCCUGCCAGAGCCACUGGCAUGGUUUUCCUUUUCUUUCUUCUGUCUAUCAUUCUAAGAUACUCUCUGAUAUACAAAGAAGGGAAACUGGCUGGCCAUUUUAAUAGGUCAAAUAUCAAAGCAAGGAAAACAGUCCUUAUUCAUUUAGUGCAGUUUGGCUUACAUGUGAUAUCAACCUUGUUAUUCGUAGGUUUGGGAAAGAUGUGUGGAGUGUUUUUCUUUGCUUUAAAUCUGGUGCUUUUUGGAGUCUUUGCAUUUGCCCAGUGUUUUAACCCUCUGAUCUAUGGGCUCUGGAAUAGAGAGUUGCAAAGCAGAUUAUACCAUUGGAUGUGCUGUCGACUGUGGUGUGGUCACAGUGACCAGCAGAGGGCCAGUUUAAACAAAAACUCAGCCAUUUUGAAUCAAUAACGCUAGUCCUAAUGGACCAUCAGCUAGGGAUGGGGAUUUGCUGUUUACUCAAGCUAAUAUUGAUGCCUUGAUUUGAUUUUGAAAAUAAUAUGAGUAAAUCAAAAUUAUCCAUCUGGCUUACAAACUUUGUUACUGUGUACACUGAAUUCGCCUCAGUGAAAUCAUUUUAUGUCUUUAAUUCUAAACCCAGAUUAGCGUUUUGGGCAGCAUGCCUUAUUGUGCUUCAGGAGUUGGGCAGCUUUUGAGAAUGCACUUGUUUUUAGAAGCUGAGAAAUAGUCCAUGGCUGAUAGAAAAAGAAGUUUGGCUGUUCCCCUUUAUUAAUUAGGGGUAGGUUUGUCUAAUGUAAUAACAACUCAGCAAAUAACAGUGGCUUUAAAAAGGUAGAGAUUUUUUUUUUCUUAUGUAAAAGAAAUCUGGAGGUACACAAUCCAGGCCUAUGUGGCAACUCUGUAGGCCACAGGCUCAUUUUCUUCUACUCUGCCAUGAGUACUGUACUACCUCAUGACCCAAGAUGGCUGUUAGUGCUCCUGUCAUCACAUUCACACUCCAGCCAACAGGAAGAAGAGAAGGGGAAAGAAGCCUCUGCACCAUCCUUCUAAAGACACUUUCUAGAAGUUACAAAACACUUUUUCUUAUAUCUAACUGGCCAAAAUUUAGUCGUGUAGCUAUGACCUAGCUUUAAGGGAGAGUAGCAGGGUAGCAAUGUCUCAGUUAAAAAUUGGGGUUCUUAACACUAAGAAAGUAAAGAAGACUGGAUAUUGGGAGACAAAAUUAUUUCAGGAACUGAUUUCCUCUCAACCAAAUAAAAUACAAAGAAAUGCAAUGGAUGGGUUAUGGUCAUCACAAAAAUACAGUCUACCUUUUAAUUUGAUAUAUAAAUGCAGAGUUAUCUGUUCUGGAUCCCAGAAAACUUUAAUUGUGUUAUGUCAAAGAGAAUGGCAUCAAUAAAGAGAUCACUGAACUGCUUUAAACAUAGGAACUAUGGAUUUUAAAAAUAAUUAUUAAAUAGCAGCCUGAAUGGA